UACGUAGGGGGCAAGCGUUGUCCGGAAUCAUUGGGCGUAAAGAGCGCGUAGGCGGUCCGGUAAGUCCGCUCUGAAAGUCCGGGGGCUCAACCCCGGGAGGCGGGCGGAUACUGUCGGGCUAGAGUCCGGAAGAGGCGAGUGGAAUUCCUGGUGUAGCGGUGAAAUGCGUAGAUAUCUGGAGGAAUACCGGUGGCGAAGGCGGCAUCCUGGACCGGCAUUGACGCUGAUGAGCGAAAGCUAGGGGAGCGAACGGG
rnacentral:rRNA from 1 species